UACGUAGGGUGCAAGCGUUAAUCGGAAUUACUGGGCGUAAAGCGUGCGCAGGCGGCUAUGCAAGACAGAUGUGAAAUCCCCGGGCUCAACCUGGGAACUGCAUUUGUGACUGCAUGGCUAGAGUGCGGCAGAGGGGGAUGGAAUCCGCGUGUAGCAGUGAAAUGCGUAGAUAUGCGGAGGAACACCGAUGGCGAAGGCAAUCCCCUGGGCCUGCACUGACGCUCAUGCACGAAAGCGUGGGGAGCAAACAGG
rnacentral:rRNA from 1 species